GUGCGAGACCGAUAGCGAACAAGUACCGUGAGGAAAAGAUGAAAAGAACUUUGAAAAGAGAGUUAAAGAGUACCUGAAACUGCUGAAAGGGAAGCGAAUCGUAUCCAGUGUCUAUAAUCUGCGGCAUAUUUCAUUGGCGGCGGUGCGCGUGCUUUUGCGUCGGAAGCGGCUUUUGUUGCUCUGUGCUUUUGCUGUGCGUGGUGUUGCUGGUGCCCUGUGUCGCGGUGGGACGUCAGAGUCAGUUUGUAUGCUGCGGGAAAUGGCUGCUAGGGAGGUAGGUCACUUGUGGCUGUUAUAUCCUGGUGUGCUAGUCGUCGUGGUUGAGACUGAGGUGCCUACAAUGUGCUUUUGAGUGUACCGGGUUCUCAUUUGGUGGACUGUUUGGAUAGCUUGCUAUGCUUGUGGUUUUUUCAUCGGGUGAUUGAGUCUGGUGGUAACUUGUUGCUGUUCGGGACUUUG
rnacentral:rRNA from 2 species